rnacentral:piRNA from 1 species
UGUGAAAUGCCUAUUCGGGCCAUUGGUCCA